AAGAGAAUAAAUAAAGUGCGGCUGCUAACUACAAUUUGGGGGUUUCCGUCUCUUC
rnacentral:tRNA from 1 species